GGAAGCGUGGCAGAGCGGUUGAAUGCACCGGUCUUGAAAACCGGCGACGUUUCGCGACGUCCGUGGGUUCGAAUCCCACCGCUUCCGCCA
rnacentral:tRNA from 2 species